rnacentral:misc_RNA from 1 species
UGAUAAUUCUACACCACUAGCUCAGCUCCUCUGUGAGCAGCUCGUGUACUAGCAAUGGCCGCCGGAGGCUCCUCAACGACUACCUGGCUUCUGAGAGGAGCAUUUCAAGCUUUAGCACUAUCUCACCCUCUUCGCAGAACCACCAUUGUCUCUUUCUAUGGAACUUCUCGCUCUCUUCCUCUUAUCGCUCCUAUGAGAAACUCAGCCUUGGGGAUAUGUCACUUGGCACAAGCCAUGAAGGGGCAAGUUAAUGAUUUACUCAAGGGUGUGGGAGACAGAAGUGUCAAUGAAGAAGUGAAGUUUAUUGUCGACAUGGCGAGAAGGGCAUCAUCAAGAAGAGAAGUUCUCCAUACAGAUUUUCUCACCCCACCAACAUUGAAGGAUUCAAUGCUUCAAUUAGAAAAACUAACUGACAUUAAAGCAGUUGCUCAGGGAGGAUAUCCACAGGCUGAACGUUGCCGGCUUUCUGUUGGACAUGCAGAAGUGCUGACGAAUGAUCCAGAUAUAAUUGCAGCAUUGAGUGUGACAGGGAACUUUUCAUUCCAACCCUGUUCUCAUGGUGACUUCCUUGGUGCAAUUCUAGGUACAGGGAUCUCCAGGGAAAAGGUUGGGGAUAUUAUCUUGCAGGGAGAGAAAGGGGCUCAAAUCCUUCUUGUUCCAGAACUUGUUGACUUUAUUAUGUCGUCACUGGACAAGGUUGGUAAUGUUUCAGUUUCUUGUGCAAGAAUACCAUUGCUUGCUCUUGAAUAUGAACCUCCAAGGACUAAGACAUUUAAAACCAUUGAAACAUCACUUAGGGUUGAUGCCCUAGCUAGUGCAGGAUUCAAGAUUUCACGGUCAAAACUAGUUGAUUUGAUUAGUAACAGGGAUGUGCGCGUGAAUUGGAC